rnacentral:rRNA from 1 species
UACAGAGGGGGCGAGCGUUUGUUUCGGAAUUACUGGGCGUAAAGGGCGCGUAGGCGGCCUGCUAAGUCAUACGUGAAAUCCCUCGGCUCAACCGAGGAACUGCGUCUGAUACUGGUUGGCUUGAAUUCGGGAGAGGGAUGCGGAAUUCCAAGGUGUAGCGGUGAAAUGCGUAGAUAUCUGGAGGAACACCGGUGGCGAAGGCGGCAUCCUGGACCGAGAUUGACGCUGAUGCGCGAAAGCCAGGGGAGCAAACGGG